AGAGUUUGAUCAUGGCUCAGAUUGAACGCUGGCGGCAGGCCUAACACAUGCAAGUCGAACGGUAACAGGAAGAAGCUUGCUUCUUUGCUGACGAGUGGCGGACGGGUGAGUAAUGUCUGGGAAACUGCCUGAUGGAGGGGGAUAACUACUGGAAACGGUAGCUAAUACCGCAUAACGUCGCAAGACCAAAGAGGGGGACCUUCGGGCCUCUUGCCAUCGGAUGUGCCCAGAUGGGAUUAGCUAGUAGGUGGGGUAACGGCUCACCUAGGCGACGAUCCCUAGCUGGUCUGAGAGGAUGACCAGCCACACUGGAACUGAGACACGGUCCAGACUCCUACGGGAGGCAGCAGUGGGGAAUAUUGCACAAUGGGCGCAAGCCUGAUGCAGCCAUGCCGCGUGUAUGAAGAAGGCCUUCGGGUUGUAAAGUACUUUCAGCGGGGAGGAAGGGAGUAAAGUUAAUACCUUUGCUCAUUGACGUUACCCGCAGAAGAAGCACCGGCUAACUCCGUGCCAGCAGCCGCGGUAAUACGGAGGGUGCAAGUGUUAAUCGGAAUUACUGGGCGUAAAGCGCACGCAGGCGGUUUGUUAAGUCAGAUGUGAAAUCCCCGGGCUCAACCUGGGAACUGCAUCUGAUACUGGCAAGCUUGAGUCUCGUAGAGGGGGGUAGAAUUCCAGGUGUAGCGGUGAAAUGCGUAGAGAUCUGGAGGAAUACCGGUGGCGAAGGCGGCCCCCUGGACGAAGACUGACGCUCAGGUGCGAAAGCGUGGGGAGCAAACAGGAUUAGAUACCCUGGUAGUCCACGCCGUAAACGAUGUCGACUUGGAGGUUGUGCCCUUGAGGCGUGGCUUCCGGAGCUAACGCGUUAAGUCGACCGCCUGGGGAGUACGGCCGCAAGGUUAAAACUCAAAUGAAUUGACGGGGGCCCGCACAAGCGGUGGAGCAUGUGGUUUAAUUCGAUGCAACGCGAAGAACCUUACCUGGUCUUGACAUCCACGGAAGUUUUCAGAGAUGAGAAUGUGCCUUCGGGAACCGUGAGACAGGUGCUGCAUGGCUGUCGUCAGCUCGUGUUGUGAAAUGUUGGGUUAAGUCCCGCAACGAGCGCAACCCUUAUCCUUUGUUGCCAGCGGUCCGGCCGGGAACUCAAAGGAGACUGCCAGUGAUAAACUGGAGGGAGGUGGGGAUGACGUCAAGUCAUCAUGGCCCUUACGACCAGGGCUACACACGUGCUACAAUGGCGCAUACAAAGAGAAGCGACCUCGCGAGAGCAAGCGGACCUCAUAAAGUGCGUCGUAGUCCGGAUUGGAGUCUGCAACUCGACUCCAUGGAG
rnacentral:rRNA from 1 species